rnacentral:rRNA from 1 species
AACGAACGCUGGCGGCGCGCUUUACACAUGCAAGUCGCACGAGAAAGGGCUUCGGCCCGAGUAAAGUGGCGGACGGGUGAGUAAUGCAUGGAUAACCUGCCUUCGAGUGGGGGAUAACCCCGGGAAACCGGGGCUAAUACCGCAUGACAAGUCGCGAGCUUCGGCUUGCGCCUUCAAAGCUGGCCUCUGCUUGCACGCUGGCGCUUGAAGAGGGGUCCAUGUCCCAUUAGCUAGUUGGUGAGGUAACGGCUCACCAAGGCGACGAUGGGUAGCCGACCUGAGAGGGUGAUCGGCCACACUGGGACUGAGACACGGCCCAGACUCCUACGGGAGGCAGCAGUGGGGAAUUUUGCGCAAUGGGGGAAACCCUGACGCAGCGACGCCGCGUGGAGGAUGAAGGCCCUUGGGUCGUAAACUCCUGUCAGGUGGGAAGAAAAGCCUUCGGUAAACAGCCGAGGGUCUUGACUGUACCACCGGAGGAAGCCCCGGCUAACUCCGUGCCAGCAGCCGCGGUAACAC